AUGGUCCUCCGGAGCGACACGGGCGACAUCAUUUUUUCUUUAUGCAGAGAACUCCGGACGUGUUCGGAUCCUCUGGAAGCCGAACUGCAGGCCUGCAUGGACGGGCUCAACUUGGCACUUCAAUGGACCCCUUUGCCUAUUGAGAUGGAGACAGACUGCGCGGUGGCGGUACAUGCGCUACUAGCACCGACGAGGGAUAGAUCUCGUUUUGCCUUGCUUGUUGAUCGGGUUAGGCGUUUGAUGCUAGCAGGAAGGGAGGUUAAGCUAGUUCAUAUUCGUAGAGAACAGAACGGACAAGUCACAUCCUACAAAAGAUAUCGGAAGAACACCCGCCGGCUCCCCGCCCCGCGUGAGAGUGUGCUGCUGCCUCAUCAUCUUAGUCCCGCUGAAAGCGAGUCUGUGAGUGAAGGUGACGGCAGGCUCAGCUGCAAAGAUUUCCACAGGAGACACACCGAGAAGAUUCAGAGCUCUCGUCGCUCAAACCUGCUGGGCCCGUGA
rnacentral:rRNA from 1 species